rnacentral:lncRNA from 1 species
CCAAGAGUUGACUCCACCUGGCUCCUGCUUCGGAGAAUCCAGGCUGAAUCUGGCACCAGGGGACUCUUUGCAGGUGGGUGCCUGUCUGUGUGCAUGCACUCCAUGCAUGAUGUAUGUCCAUGUCAUGUAUGUGAAGGGGCCUGGCCCCCUAACCGUGGUCUGUCUUUGUACCACAGGUUUCCUCCCCAGGAUCAUCAAGGCUGCGCCCUCCUGCGCCAUCAUGAUCAGCACUUACGAGUUUGGCAAAAGCUUCUUCCACAGGCUCAACCAGGAGCAGCCUCUGGGCCACUGAAGGUUGAGGAGCAACUGGCUCUUGCCCGGGUGGGAACAGGAGACUGAGCCAAGUGCCUUCCCUCCCAGUCCAGUCACCCAGGCUGUCCUCAUUUGGAUUCCUGCUGUUUCCCUCCCCUACCUCCGAGACCAAAUCUGAUGAUUCCCUGCUUUGUGUCCCUUAUGUUUGUUAUAGCUUGGCCCUGAGGAGCCGCGAGCUCGGGCCAGGCGGAAUUCCCAGCCAUUUGUUCCCUGUCUAAAGAUGAUGAUCUUCUGUGC